GGUAAAUUCAGAAAAUCAUCAUGACAUUAGCCCAUACAAUCAACAUUUUUGGGAGAUAAAUAGGGAAACAACAUUAGAACUUUCAUCAUCUACCAAACACUCUGUAAGAAACAUAAACAAAGACAGCAUCCUAGGGCUUCCAUCGUUCACCAAGCACUCUGUAAGCAACAUAAAAAAAAGAUGAUAUUAGAUUAAACAUCCCUCCCUUCCCUACCAUCAAGUGGCACUCAUCUCAGUGGCUGAUGAAUACAUAAUACAAACAGAAAUUGAAUACAAUACACAAACUAAAAUUGGUAAUGUUGAAUACAGAAUGCAAACUGAAAAUGACAUGGAUACACUAGCUGACCUACUUUUGCAUACAGGGUGUGUUGAAACUGAAAUUGGCAAUUUAUGGUGAAUUAUACAGGAGUGUUGCAUACAACUGAGGUUAUAUGGUCUACCCUGCUACAACAUUUAAGCAUGCAUUUGACUACAAGCCAGCAAAUAUAUACAUAGAGCUGCAUAUAACAGUAACAUGAAGGGGAACAAUUUAGCACAAUAAAGCCUACCUAAGGAGCAUGAUCCUAGCAGCAGCUCUUCACUAAUUUGUAUAGAAUGAAACAAUAAAAAACAAGUUAAGAAAUAAUAUAGUUUCCUUUCCAAUCAGUUGUCGUCCCAAAUCUGCAGACACGUAAACAACCCAUUGAAUCCUACAGUAGCAAUGCAAACAAAGAGAUGCCUGAAUCGUAUAUCCUAUAAUAACACUCUUGCUAGGUUUCACACUCAUCUUCUGUUAAUAGAAGAAACGUAUGGUGUAGGGAUCUGGAAGAAAGUAAAGUCAAAAGAGAAGGACGAAGUAGAUCUGAUCCGAAUUUGGUGACGCCGUGGAGCAGGAUGGUGACAGAAGGGGGAUCCUAGCUGGAGGCGGAGGCCGCCAAGGCGAGGUUGUCCGGCAGGGCGUCAUCGGUCCACACCCGGUCGUCCGUGUCCUUGGUCCACACGCAGUGCAAGCGGCUAGGAGCAGCACCAGAAGUAGCAAGGUGGAUAGAUAAAACAUCAAGCAGUGCCCCCGCGCAGAUUUGUGGGCAGAAGGUGUCAGCAGUAGCACGCAGGUGGGGAAGGGAGCGGUCGAGCGAAGGGUGGGUGUCACCAGCAGCAACACAAGGUUGGUGGUGAUGAUGUCCAGUGGAAAGAGGUGAACUUACCCCAGCGGAGGUUGGUGGUGAUGAUGUCCCGCGGAAGGCGAUCGGUG
rnacentral:lncRNA from 1 species